rnacentral:misc_RNA from 1 species
AAAAAAAAAAAAAAAAAACCAUAUUUAAAGAGAAUUAGGGAAUUAGCAAACAAUAGCUCACCUCAUGGUCAUGGAUUAAAUUCUUUGGUUGGACAAGGACAAUUAGAAGUUUCUACAAGCUUUAUUGACUUGUCUAAACAUAUAAACAUUUUCAACAUCAUCUUUUCUGAUAAUAACCCCGCCAUAUCAUUCAUUUAUUACAUUGGUCUGUUUACUUAUGUAUGCAGCAGUUUUGCUUCUGAACUCUAGCUAACCAAAUGAUGUUGCAUUACUAUAUCAACAUCCAGAAUGUUUCUUUACAUCUCAUUCAAAGACAUAAGAGUGCUGACAGUUCAAAAGUUUUCUUACAUGCAUAAUCUCCAUUGCAUUAUCCCACUACACUGAACCAAAGAUCAUGCGCAUCUUUUCAAAAAGAAAUUUUUAGCGUUUCUCAUUAUAACUCCAAAACUAUAUCCAUCAGUAGCAACAUCAUAUGAUACUUCAUGCAAAGGGAAGAUAAUAA